GACGAACGCUGGCGGCGUGCUUAACACAUGCAAGUCGAACGCUGAAGCUCAGCUUUUGUUGGGUGGAUGAGUGGCGAACGGGUGAGUAACACGUGAGUAACCUGCCCCCUUCUUUGGGAUAACGCCCGGAAACGGGUGCUAAUACUGGAUAUUCACUGGUCUUCGCAUGGGGGUUGGUGGAAAGGGUUUUUCUGGUGGGGGAUGGGCUCGCGGCCUAUCAGCUUGUUGGUGGGGUGAUGGCCUACCAAGGCUUUGACGGGUAGCCGGCCUGAGAGGGUGACCGGUCACAUUGGGACUGAGAUACGGCCCAGACUCCUACGGGAGGCAGCAGUGGGGAAUAUUGCACAAUGGGCGCAAGCCUGAUGCAGCGACGCCGCGUGAGGGAUGGAGGCCUUCGGGUUGUGAACCUCUUUCGCUCAUGGUCAAGCCGCAACAAUGGUUGUGGUGAGGGUAGUGGGUAAAGGAGCGCCGGCUAACUACGUG
rnacentral:rRNA from 1 species